rnacentral:rRNA from 1 species
ACGAACGCUGGCGGCGCGCCUAACACAUGCAAGUCGAACGAGCGAGAGGGAGCUUGCUUUCUCGAGCGAGUGGCGAACGGGUGAGCAACGCGUGAGGAACCUGCCUCAAAGAGGGGGACAACAGUUGGAAACGACUGCUAAUACCGCAUAAGCCCACGACCCGGCAUCGGGUUGAGGGAAAAGGAGCGAUCCGCUUUGAGAUGGCCUCGCGUCCGAUUAGCUAGCUGGUGAGGUAACGGCCCACCAAGGCGACGAUCGGUAGCCGGACUGAGAGGUUGAACGGCCACAUUGGGACUGAGACACGGCCCAGACUCCUACGGGAGGCAGCAGUGGGGAAUAUUGCACAAUGGGGGAAACCCUGAUGCAGCGACGCCGCGUGGAGGAAGAAGGUCUUCGGAUUGUAAACUCCUGUUGUUGAGGAAGAUAAUGACGGUACUCAACAAGGAAGUGACGGCUAACUACGUGCCAGCCGCCGCUGUAAAAC